UGCGUGGCCGAUCUCCCGCCAAGCCAUACGCAGCGGACUUAAAAUCCGCAGGCCGCAAGGCCGUGGGGUUCAAGUCCCCUCCGGGCAU
rnacentral:tRNA from 1 species